UCUUUCAGUUUCCUAAGACCCAUUUAAAGUCUGUUAACCAGGUUGAGACCAGUGGUUGCGUUAAAUAGCACAAAUCCACCUUGCCUCCUCUGCUAAAGGUAUUUGUCAAUAUGCAUGCUUUAAAUCAAGAGUGGAGAAAAAUUUUGCACCUGACAUACCAGAGAAGAUAGUGUCAAUUGAUGGUAUGGAAAAAGAAUAGGUGUCAAUAUGUGCAUUUAAAUGAGCCUUGUAAUUGAGAUACAUGCAAAGGGAUCGAUCUUUUUUCCUCAGCCAUACCACAGAUGAG